rnacentral:rRNA from 1 species
UUUCCGUAGGUGAACCUGCGGAAGGAUCAUUAACGAACAAGGAAUUCAAUUUGCUUGAAUUUCCUUGGGAUCAACCAAAACCUGUGUGAAAUUUUAAUAAUCGAGCGCGAAUGCGCGAAUGAAUUCUCAAAAAAAAAAUACAAAACUUUCAACAACGGAUCUCUUGGCUCUUGCAUCGAUGAAGAACGCAGCGAAUUGCGAUAAGUAGUGUGAAUUGCAGAAUUCCGAGAAUCAUCGAAUCUUUGAACGCAUAUUGCACUCUUUGGGAUUCCGAAGAGUAUGCCUGUUUGAGGGUCAUUUGAAAAUUUAUCCAGACUUUUUUCGGUCUUGGAAUGAUGAGUUUUUCCAUUCGACGACAAUCUUUGUGGAUGGUAACUCGAAAUCAAUGCCAACGUCUUGGCUUGUAACAGACGCGUUUAUGUUUAAAUCUUCGCAACUAAAUCAAGUCUUGGUAUGGCGUGUUCAAAUUCUUUGACGAAAUUCAAAGGAUCGGAACAGAAUUUUAUUAAUUAUAAUCGUGACCUCAAAUCAGGUAGGAUUACCCGCUGAACUUAA